rnacentral:pre_miRNA from 1 species
AGUCACAGCUUAGUGUGACUGUUAUUGUUAGUUGUUCUGUUAAUAAACAGCUGACAUAGUUAGUUGUUUCUGUUAGAGUACAGCUGGCUCAUUCUGUUAUAGUUGUGAUU